AUACGUAGGUGCCAAGCGUUAUCCGGAUUUACUGGGCGUAAAGGGCGUGUAGGCGGUCUUGCAAGUCAGAAGUGAAAUUCCUGGGCUCAACUCGGGCGCUGCUUCUGAAACUGCAGGACUUGAGUGCUGGAGGGGAUAGAGGAAUUCCUAGUGGAGCGGUAAAAUGCGCAGAUAUUAGGAAGAACACCGGUGGCGAAGGCGGUUAUCUGGACAGUAACUGACGCUGAGGCGCGAAAGCGUGGGGAGGAAAUAGAAUUAGAUACCCUGGUAGUCCACGCCGUAAACGAUGGAUACUAGGUGUAGGGGUCAAAAGACUUCUGUGCCGCAGCAAACGCAUUAAGUAUUCCGCCUGGGGAGUACGGCCGCAAGGUUGAAACUCAAAUGAAUUGACGGGG
rnacentral:rRNA from 1 species